AGUCGUAACAAGGUUUCCGUAGGUGAACCUGCGGAAGGAUCAUUAAUGAAUAAACCUGGCAGGAGACUGUAGCUGACUCUUUUUCUCGAGUAAUGUGCACGUCUCUUGUCAUCUUUAUCUCUCCACCUGUGCACCUUAUGUAGCUUCAACGAAUGCAAAUCUGAAUGUCCUUCAGUAUGAGGAUCGAGAGUCUCUUUCCUUGGUAGUUGUCGCUAUGUUUUUUCUUCAUACACACCAAUGAAAUCAAUAGAAUGUUUCUUUACACUUGGGUCUUUGCACCCUAUAGUAAAAGUUGUUACAACUUUCAGCAACGGAUCUCUUGGCUCUCGCAUCGAUGACGAACGCAGCGAAAUGCGAUAAGUAAUGUGAAUUGCAGAAUUCAGUGAAUCAUCGAAUCUUUGAACGCAUCUUGCGCUCCUUGGUAUUCCGAGGAGCAUGCCUGUUUGAGUGUCAUUUAAAUUCUCAACCUUUGUGCUUCUUUCUCAAAGGCUUGGAUGUGGAGGUYUUUUGCAGGGUCUUGACAAAAGGUCUGCUCCUCUGAAAUGCAUUAGCAGUGUUGAUCGGUUCAAAAUGUCUACUGGUGUGAUAACUAUCURCGCCUAUCAGACGAACCGCCAUUCAAGGGCUGCUUUCUAACCGUCCGCAAGGACAGACUUUGACCAUUUGACCUCAAAUCAGGUAGGACUACCCGCUGAACU
rnacentral:rRNA from 1 species